GGGGCUGUGGCCUAAUGGUAAGGCGUUGGUUUUCGGUAAAUUCAGAAAUCCACAAAAGAUUGCAGGUUUGAGUCCUGUCAGCCUCG